rnacentral:lncRNA from 10 species
CCUAUCUCGGGCCGCCGCGCCUAGGCCCGUGAGCAGCCUGUGGUGGGGCAUGGCGGCACAGCCACCGGCGUGCCCGCGAGGCCUCGGGACCCAGACCAGGAUUUCCAUCAGCUCCCCUGGCUCGCAGGCCUUCUGACUUCUGACUCACCAUCAGCUCUCCUGGAUCCAGCUUGCCAAUGGCAGAUCGUGGGACUCCUUGCCCUCUAAUCGCAUGAAACAAUGCCCACAGGGCAGGUCUCACUAUGUUGCCCAUUCUGGUCUUGAACUCUUGGACUCAAGCAAUCCUCCCACCUCGGACUUCCAAAGUGCUGGAAUCACAGGCUUGAGAUACCAUGCCCAGCCAAUUUAUUGUGGUACAAUCUAAUCCAAAAGGUCAAGAUAAGGACAUUCUAAAUCAAAAAAGAGCUUUAGAAAACCAACAUUUUCCUCCCGAUAUGAAAAGAAGAUCUGGGGCUGAUUUGAGCUGUGAUAUCGUUGGAUAAUGACCUUUUACACCUUUCCAGCCAAAGACACCAGGGAUAAAA